rnacentral:rRNA from 1 species
GACGAACGCUGGCGGCGUGCCUAAUACAUGCCAGUUGAGCGCUGAAGGUUGGUACUUGUACCGACUGGAUGAGCAGCGAACGGGUGAGUAACGCGUGGGGAAUCUGCCUUUGAGCGGGGGACAACAUUUGGAAACGAAUGCUAAUACCGCAUAAAAACUUUAAACACAAGUUUUAAGUUUGAAAGAUGCAAUUGCAUCACUCAAAGAUGAUCCCGCGUUGUAUUAGCUAGUUGGUGAGGUAAAGGCUCACCAAGGCGAUGAUACAUAGCCGACCUGAGAGGGUGAUCGGCCACAUUGGGACUGAGACACGGCCCAAACUCCUACGGGAGGCAGCAGUAGGGAAUCUUCGGCAAUGGACGAAAGGCUGACCGAGCAACGCCGCGUGAGUGAAGAAGGUUUUCGGAUCGUAAAACUCUGUUGGUAGAGAAGAACGUUGGUGAGAGUGGAAAGCUCAUCAAGUGACGGUAACUACCCAGAAAGGGACGGCUAACUACGUG